rnacentral:rRNA from 1 species
GGAUGCGGUCAUACCCCCUGGGAAGUCCUCGUGUUGAAGUUAAGCGUGCUUGGGCGAGAGUAGUACUAGGAUGGGUGACCCCUGGGAAGUCCUCGUGUUGCAUCCC